rnacentral:rRNA from 1 species
GUACACGCUGUGACUAGCAUAUCAAUAAGCGGAGGAAAAGAAACUAACAAGGAUUCCCUCAGUAACGGCGAGUGAAGCGGGAAGAGCUCAAAUUUGAAAUCUUGAAAGGUCACCUUUCACGAAUUGUAGUUUAAAGAAUGUGUUUUCUGUUACGAUCGUAAUAUAAGUUCUUUGGAAUAGGACAUCACAGAGGGUGAGAAUCCCGUCUAUGAUUGCGAUUUGUAGCUUUGUGAUACACUUUCAAAGAGUCGGGUUGUUUGGGAAUGCAGCCCAAAACGGGAGGUAAAUUUCUUCUAAGGCUAAAUACUUGGCGAGAGACCGAUAGCGAACAAGUACCGUGAGGGAAAGAUGAAAAGAACUUUGAAAAGAGAGUUAAACAGUACGUGAAAUUGUCAAAAGGGAAGCGUUUAACACCAGUGUUGUUUUCUGAAAAUCAACCUCUGUUAGCUUUAUGCAUGUUUGUUUAGACCUAAUCAGCUAUCUUUCAUGUUCUAUUGUUUGCAGUGGUGCACUUUUCAGUUUACAGGUCAACAUCAGUUUUUUUUACCGUAAAAAAGUUAAAGAAAGGUAGCUCAUGGCUCCGGUCGUGAGUGUUAUAGUCUUUUUCCUAUGCGGUAGGAGAGACUGAGGUCUGCAGUGUAGGCUAUUUGGCUAGAUACUCAGGUGCUAUGUGAUUACCAUUUCAUAAACAACUUGUUGAUUAUGUUUUGUCUAUUGCAUACUCGCUUGUACUAUCAUACCUACGCUUAGGAUGUUGAGUAGCGACAUACGCAC